rnacentral:lncRNA from 1 species
CCCAGGAGCCUUCAUUACAAGAUGCCAACGUGAAACCCAAGGUGGAGUGCAGUGUGGUGACAGAGUUCACGGACCACAUCUGUGUGACGAUGGAUGCUGAGCUCAUCAUGUUUCUCCAUGAUCUAGUGUCAGCAUAUCUGAAAGAAAAGGAAAAGGGUGGGCUGCAUAGUUUUCCUUUCUUCUGUCAUAUACAGGAUUGGCAUGGGGAUAUCUUCAUGGCCUAGGGACAGGAUGCAUGCCUUUUCCUCUGGGCUGCAGUGUCAUGCAGAAGCACUUCAGGACAGUCUGACAGACUCCUGCGUUUCUGCUGCAUACACACACUCUUUACAUCUUUUUUACAUUUAUUUAUUUCGUUUUUUGGGGGGAUAGAGUCAUCGUGACACACAUAAAGAGGUCAGAAGAGAGCUUACAGGAAUCCAUUCUCUCCUUCAACUAUAUUGUUUCCAAAAGCUAAAUUCAGGAAAUCAGCCCUGGUGGCAAACACCUCUACCUGCUGAGUCAUCUGACUGGCCCACAAUGGUGCUCAUUUUAAUCACGAGGUGUUUCUUCAUAAAGAGGAAAGAGGUUUUUUGGUUUUUUUAAAAAUCAGGGACUGGAAAGGUAGCUCAAAAACAAUCUACAGCUACUGCUCCAGAGGACCAAACACUUUCUUCUAGCCCCUGACACACGCACGCACGCACGCACGCACGCACGCAGACAGAGAGCAUACAUGUACAUAUACACAUCAAUAAAAAAAAAGUUUAGAAGUUUCUAAAAAUACAAAAGUCUGCAGUUA